rnacentral:rRNA from 1 species
UACAGAGGGGGCAAGCGUUGUUCGGAAUUACUGGGCGUAAAGGGCGCGUAGGCGGCCUGUUAAGUCGAACGUGAAAUCCCCGGGCUCAACCCGGGAACUGCGUCCGAUACUGGCAGGCUUGAAUUCGGGAGAGGGAUGCGGAAUUCCAGGUGUAGCGGUGAAAUGCGUAGAUAUCUGGAGGAACACCGGUGGCGAAGGCGGCAUCCUGGACCGAGAUUGACGCUGAGACCCGAAAGCAUGGGGAUCGAACAGG